rnacentral:tRNA from 1 species
AGGAGUUGUGCCUGAAACAAAGGGCCACUUUGAUAGAGUGAAAAAUGAGGGUUAAAGUCCCUCCAACUCCUU